rnacentral:rRNA from 1 species
GUACCUGACUAAGAAGCCCCGGCUAACUACGUGCCAGCAGCCGCGGUAAUACGUAGGGGGCAAGCGUUAUCCGGAUUUACUGGGUGUAAAGGGAGCGUAGACGGUGUGGCAAGUCUGAUGUGAAAGUUUACGGCUCAACCGUAAAAUUGCAGUUGAUACUGGCGACCUUGAGUGCAACAGAGGUAGGCGGAAUUCGUGGUGUAGCGGUGAAAUGCUUAGAUAUCACGAAGAACUCCGAUUGCGAAGGCAGCUUACUGGAUUGUAACUGACGCUGAUGCUCGAAAGUGUGGGUAUCAAACAGGAUUAGAUACCCUGGUAGUCCACACAGUAAACGAUGAAUACUCGCUGUUGGCGAUAUACAGUCAGCGGCCAAGCGAAAGCAUUAAGUAUUCCACCUGGGGAGUACGCCGGCAACGGUGAAACUCAAAGGAAUUGACGGGGGCCCGCACAAGCGGAGGAACAUGUGGUUUAAUUCGAUGAUACGCGAGGAACCUUACCCGGGCUUAAAUUGCAACUGACGGAACCGGAAACGGUUCUUUCUUCGGACAGUUGUGAAGGUGCUGCAUGGUUGUCGUCAGCUCGUGCCGUGAGGUGUCGGCUUAAGUGCCAUAACGAGCGCAACCCUUAUCGAUAGUUACUAGCAGGUUAUGCUGAGGACUCUAUUGAGACUGCCGUCGUAAGAUGUGAGGAAGGUGGGGAUGACGUCAAAUCAGCACGGCCCUUACGUCCGGGGCUACACACGUGUUACAAUGGGGGGUACAGAAGGCAGCUACACGGCGACGUGGUGCUAAUCCCGAAAGCCUCUCUUAGUUCGGAUUGGAGUCUGCAACCCGACUCCAUGAAGCUGGAUUCGCUAGUAAUCGCGCAUCAGCCAUGGCGCGGUGAAUACGUUCCCGGGCCUUGCACACACCGCCCGUCAAG